UGGAGAGAUCACAGUCACCAGAGCAAGUUGCCUUGGAAAGUUCUUGGAGUGGCAUAUCCCCAUGUGGCACGGCUCCCUGAAUGUUGGGGCAGAACAUGUCAUCCAUGGAAAUUGACUUAUUUUGUUCUACAAGGAAAAAAACAGGUGUCAGCACAAGAAGAGAAGUAUAACCCCACGUCCAUAAGCUGAAACAGGUGUAUGUGCUUUUAGUUUGAGGGGAAUAAUCUACACCAAUAAAAGUGUUGACAGUGGC
rnacentral:lncRNA from 1 species